AAUUUGAAAUCUGGCCCCUUCGGGGUCCGAGUUGUAAUUUGUAGAGAGUGCUUCCGGGGAGACCGCGGUCUAAGUCCAUUGGAACAUGGCGUCCUAGAGGGUGAGAAUCCCGUAUGUGACCGUGGCUCGAACCCGUGUGAAGCCUCUUCGACGAGUCGAGUUGUUUGGGAAUGCAGCUCAAAAUGGGUGGUAAAUUUCAUCUAAAGCUAAAUACUGGCUGGAGACCGAUAGCGCACAAGUAGAGUGAUCGAAAGAUGAAAAGCACUUUGGAAAGAGAGUUAAAAAGUACGUGAAAUUGUUGAAAGGGAAGCGCUUGCAACCAGACCUGCCCGUAGGCGAUCAGCCGCUGUUCUCAGCGGUGCACUCGCCCUGCGAUCAGGCCAGCAUCGGUUCCGGCGGUCGGAUAAAGGCCUUGGGAAUGUAGCUUCCCCUCGGGGGAGUCUUAUAGCCCUCGGUGCAAUGCGGCCAGCCGGGACCGAGGACCGCGCUUCGGCUAGGAUGCUGGCGUAAUGGUUGUAAGCGACCC
rnacentral:rRNA from 6 species